rnacentral:rRNA from 1 species
GUGCAGCAGUCGCGAAACCUCCGCAAUGCGCGAAAGCGCGACGGGGUUACCCCGAGUGCCGUCCGCUGAGGACGGCUUUUGCCCAGUGUAGCCAGCUGGGCGAAUAAGGAGAGGGCAAGUCUGGUGUCAGCCGCCGCGGUAAUACCAGCUCUCCGAGUGGUGGGGACGCUUAUUGGGCCUAAAGCAUCCGUAGCCGGUCUGGCAAGUCCCUUGUUAAAUCCAACGAUUCAAUCGUUGGACUGCAAGGGGAUACUGCCAGACUAGGGGGCGGGAGAGGCCGACGGUAUUCCCCGGGGUAGGGUGAAAUCCUAUAAUCCCGGGAGGACCACCAGUGGCGAAGGCUGUCGGCUAGAACGCGCCCGACGGUGAGGGAUGAAAGCUGGGGGAGCGAACCGGAUUAGAUACCCCUGUAGU